rnacentral:lncRNA from 1 species
CUGCAGCAACAUUCAUUUGACAUGAAUCAAUCAAUUAAGUAAUUAAUUAAUGCAUAAUCUUUGUCAUCACCAAAGCCAUUACUCUUGACCGAAUUGAAAGUGGAAAGUUGAAAGUUGAAACUACUCAUUGUACCUUGCUCAUAUAUUUUUCUACAACCGAAGGAAGGUCAGAACGAGGCUUGUAGUUUCCAAAGAAGGUGCCCUUAAGAGUUCUUUCAUUCAACAAAUUCAUGGGGUGCGUCUUGAACACAGCAUCUUUGUGAGGAACGCCCACAAGAACAGCCACACCCCAGCCCUGAAAAUAUCAGGAGUCAAUUCCGUCUGUGUUAGCAGGAUUUCGAGAAAAUUAACAACCGUUAAUUAGGACCGGAUAUUGAAGGAACAUACAUCGUGGACACAUUCGAAAGCUGAAAUCAUGGCAUCAAUAUGUCCAGUGCACUCCACACUUCUGUCCACUCCUCCAUUCGUCAUUUCGGCAAUUACCUGUUUAGCAAUGAUGUGAAAUUCCUAUUGAUUAGUACAUUAUUACCAGAUGCAAUUGUGAUAUAAGAUAUUUAACUUUUGUGCUUAUUGUUUAAGAAUUUAAUUUGGAGACAAACCUCUUGAACUGGUUUAUUGUAGUCUUUUGGGUUCACAAAUUCAGUCGCACCGAACUUCUUUGCUGAAACGAGCAAGAUGGGGAUCUCAGUAUGAUAUCAAUUCUUUUCCUAAUUAUUAAAAAAACAAAAGCACAAUUUGUUCACCUUCUUCAAAUCUACUUGAAUUCAGAUCAACACCAAUAAUCCUUGAAGCCCCGGCAAUCCUGGCCCCUUCAGCAGCCUGAUCAAUCACAUUGAAAAAACAUAAUAUGAAUAUGCAUUGUCAUUUGCAAAUUUACCUGAAACAAACACAAAGACAGUUCAUUUAGGCAGAUGAAGAUUGCUUACAGCAAGGCCUACAGCGCCCAAUCCAAAUACAGCCACUGUUGAGCCUUUUGCAGGUUUUGCAACAUUAAGUGUUGCGCCCAGGCCUGGAAAACAAAGCCACUGUUAAAUUGUGAAUCCUAACCGAAAUUAAACCUUAAAAGAGUAUUAAAAAUGUCGUGCUCCAGUAAGUACCCGUCGAAAUUCCACAGCUGAGAACACAGACUUUGUCAAGAGGAGCCAACGGAUUGAUCUUGGCAAGACAGCCAACAUGAAUAACGGUGUACUCACUGAAGGUUGAGGUUCCAACGAAAUGAUAAAUAGGCUUGCCAUUGAUGGAAAAUCUCGAUUUCCCGUCGUUAAGCAUGACGCCUCUGUCAGUGUUGAUCCUGAGAAGAUCACACAUGUUGCUUUCUUCUGACUUGCAAUGAGCACACUCCUUGCAUUCUCCGGUGAACACAGGCAGAACAUGAUCCCCUGGUUUGAGAUCAGUCACCCCCUCGCCGACGCUCUCCACAAUCCUGCAAAAAUUUCAACAGAUAUCAUAUCAAAUCAGAAUUGAAGAAACGUAGCCAGAUCAUGAAAAGUAAUCCAUUUAUGUCAUAGAAAUCAAACUGAGUAUUCACUUACCCUCCUGCCUCAUGGCCAUAAAUUCUAGGAAAUAAAGGGUUCUGUCCCUGCAUUUUAAUAAUAAUAAUAAUAAUAAUAAAGGAUAUAUUAGUAUAAAAGUGUUUAAUUUGUACGAGUUCUAAAGAAAUACAGACUUUCAUUCUAAAUAAAUUUUACCUUGGCUUCCCAGAAGUAGACAUCAGUGUGGCAAAGGGAAGUAAAGAGGAUCUUCACACGAACUUCAUUAGCCUGCGGCGGAGCCACCUCAACUUCUUCCAUCACCAGUGGCUUCCCUGCUUCCCAAGCUACCGCGGCUGCAACCACAGUAACCAAAAAAAAAAUUAUUCGAAUAUAUAUAGGCAUGCAAAGAUCAAAAGGCACGAAAUUACAACCAUUUUUUAAAUACCUCUACAGCGUAUGACUUGUCCAACAGUGCUUGUCAUCUUUUAGGAGAAACUGAGAACUGAAAGAUUUUUUAGAACUCUUUAAAGCUUGCUUUAACGUUUGCUCUUGGUGGGAAUUUAUGGCAGUUUGUCAAGGUAUUUAUAGCCCUAUGAAACCAAAUUAAAGAAGAGGUAUCCCUGAUUUAAUAAUGGAUUCUUGUGCUGUUUAACUAUUUAUGAUAUUAUUGUAAUAAUUGUUUAGACUUUCAGAUAUAAACUUUUGCCUCAAUACAGGAUACACACACAAGAGGGGCAAACCCAAAACCAUUCCUAGAUUUGUUUCCCCGGAUUUUAGUCCCUCGUUUUACUGUUGGUUUACAGUAUUCUGUUUGGUAUAUCAUAAUUCAAUAUUGAAAGAUAAAAGACAGCUGGGAUUUUACUAUUAAAAUAUUUAUGAGUACGUUCUCCAUUCUAUUUUAUUUUAAUUUAUGUUUAUUAUGAUUGUCAACGUUAAAUUCUUUUUUAAAGCCUCUUUUUUUUUAGUAUGCAACUUGCGGAAUCAAAAUCCUGUUACAAUUGACACCAGUUUCUGUGUGUUCGUCCUGGUUUUUCUUUACAGCUGUUUUACCAUUUUCAAAGUCGAAAACAACUAAUGGUUUUAGUCUUAACUUAAAACACAUCAAACAGAUAUUGAAAAUAAAUAAAUAAAUAAAUAAAAUAUAUAUAAUAAUAAUAAUAAUAAAUAUAAAAUAAAUUUUAUUUCAAACAACUAGGGGGACUGCCACUUUCGUUUUAAUUACUAAAAUUAUCAUUCAAUCACCAAAGUCGGAGCCAAAAAUUGACUUUGUAACCCUUCCUCUUGUACACAAACAUAAAAUUCAUUAAAAUACAAAUUUCCUUUUUGAAAAUUUGAACUUUUUAUUUUUUAAAAGGAUGUUUAAGAAAUAAAUGAGAUGGUACGGGGCUGUUUUUUUUUUAACUUAAUUACUUAAUUGACUUAAUUUUAAUAGUUAAGUCAUUAAGUUCAUUUGUUUUUUCAAUUUAAUAAAAAAAUUUAAUCAUUCAGGUGGCGUUUGUUUUUUUGUCUGAAAUCUGAAUAGAUCUGAAUUAGUCUGAAUUCUGAAUAGGUCUGAAUAUCUGAAUCUGAAUAAUAUGUUUGUUUUUUCGUCUGAAUAUCGAAAAAUAAGUAUUAAGUUAUUUGUUUUUUUCAACUUAAAAAGCUGAAAAUAUGUAUUUUUACAUUUGUAUCCUUAUUAAAUUUGAAUGUCAAAUAAAUAAUAUAUUAAAUACCACAAUAUUUUAACAUUUAUAAGUAAAACUAUAUUCAAGUGAAUACAUAAUUAUUUUAGAAUUUUAAUAUAUAAAAUACCAUAAAUUUCAAAUUUUAUCGUAUAUAAUAUAAGAAAUAAAAAACAAGGAUAUUGUUAUGUGGGGUAAAUAUCUAUGGGUGAGUUUUGGGAUAGAUGUGAAAAAUAAAUUAUAAAACAGGGAUAUUUUUGACAUUAGCAAGUAAUUGACUUAAUUCCGAUUUCUCCAUUAAGUAAAAAGCCAAAAAAAUUAGCUUAUUUUAUUAAGUCAAAAUUAUCUAAAAAGUCUCAUUAAGUUAUAAAAACAAACACCUCUAAUUAACUUAAUUAAUUAAGUUAAGUCAUUUUAAGUCAUUAAGUUAAAAAACAAAUGUCACCUCAGUCAAUAAGUUAUUUAAACAAUUUAUCUUACUUUUUUGCUUAAUCUAAAAAUUCAAAAAAAAAUUCUACCUUGAGAAAUAUUGUGUAAGCUUAAAAAAAAGAAAAGAAAGAAAGAAAGAAAACAAUCAAUAAACUUCCUCAUAAACUUUUCACUCUCAUUAAUUCCAAAUGACUAUUGACUACAGAUCCUUGUUUAUAAAAGAUAACAAAUGACAGUAAUUUUAUAUUUAUUUGUAUAUAAUGAUGAUUCUUACCGUAUGUACAUGUCGUAAUCCUUUUGAUUAUUGUCACAUCUGCAUGACGAUAUUUAUUCCUAUUACAUGUGCGAGUGUAUUGAUAAUUUAAGAGUGACAAAACGAAUAAAAUUCGAAUGGUAAACGAAUUUGGUCAAAAUUCUACUGAUUCAGAUAUGAUUUAUUUAUUAAAUGAAUUGAACUUCUAGGAUUCAGAUUCGAUUCAUUUAUUAAAUGAAUAUUCGGUUCGAUUCGUUUAAUUCGUUUAAUGGAAUUAAUAAACGAAAUGAAUCGAAUUCGGACUCGUUUAUUAUUCGUUUAUUCUAUUACGAAUCCAUAACGAAUUAAAUCAAAUUUUACAAUUCAUUUAGAAAGAAAAUGUAAUUAAUAAACAAAAGUAAGCAAAAUAAAAUAUGAAAAAGACACAAAUUUAAUAUCCUACAAUAAAACACAAAUAAUCCAAAUCAUAUUCUAGGAUUAAAUACACAGUCAUCCAAAUUACAAUAUUAACCUUCAAUUUUAAAAAAUUUCAAAUAAAUUUAAGGACAAAAAAGUAAUUUAAUUAAACAAAUAAUAAAUGAAUUUCAAACGAAUCAACCUAUAUUCAAUUUGUUUAUAACCCGUUUAUUAAACGAAUAAAUGAAUCAAUAUCUUCAAAUCCGGAUUCGAUUCGUUUAAUUAGCGAAUCAAAUCGAAUUUACUCAUUUAUUAAAUGAAUCAAUUUUUUCAAACAUUUAAUUCGCAUCAAAUCGAAUCGAAUAAGCGAAUCUUGACCCAUAUUGCCUCCCCCAAAUUUGAUAUUUUAUCACAUACACAUCACAUAUUAAUACUGUUGAUUCUAGCCAAAUGUCUUGAUCCUUCUCAUAUGUUGAUACAAAUGAUGUUAAUUCCUUAUACUAAUAAUGCAUAUGACAAUUCUUUAUAUCAAUUACAUGCAAACGAUUUCAUACUUCUGGCAUAGAAGACCAAUUGAUGUCUCAUAUUUUAUAUGUAUACGAGGGGCAAGUUUAGUGGACAUAGUUUCAUACAGAAUUUUAAGCACGGCUUUUAAACUAUUGGAUUAAAGUUUACCUCAGGGUUAAUAUUAAAAUUGACAUAUAAUUUUAUAAUUUUAAAAAUUAAUUAAUUAAUGUGGAUCCCACCAUAUUAAAAUUAUUCUUUCUUUUUCAUCGCAUCAAUUUUUUAUUUUUGUCCCCAAAAGCUUUCCAACUCCAUCAACCUUCUAUUAGAUAAUUUUCUUAUAGUAUAAACAUCCAUUUAAAUUAGAAUAAAAAAAUUGUAUAUGUUAAUUUUACUUGUUAGACGGUGAAUCAAUCUAAGUCCUAUUUGGACAAAUUAUUGAAAAUUUUCGCUCUACUUUGAUAAGAUUUUAACAUGCCAAACAGUGGGCUGCUGUAUGACAGAACUUGGAAAAACCAUGUUGACUUCCACUCCACAAUUGUUAGAGAUCAAUUAAUCUCCCAAUCAAUUUAUUUUACCGUGUUCAUUGUAUCAGAUUCAAUCACCAGAGGCAUUGGACCUGCUUCCCAAGCUUUACCUAUUAUAUAAUAUUGUCACGAAUUUUACUUAAUACUUACUGCUGUCUAAUUUUAUUUGUAAUCUUAAUUUUAUCUCUUCUUCUUUCUACCAGUACCAGGUCUUAAGCCAUGGUGGCUGAUUAUAUUAACUGGCUCAAACAACAGUAGACCAGUUAAGCCAAGGGGAGACCUAGUAGUUAUUCAUACUCUUGGUUGUUAUUAUUAUUUUUUUAUAAAAAAAGAAAAAAUCGAUUAUACUCGUGAUUAUGAGUUUGAGAGUUGCGGAGAAAUAAGUGUGAAAGAGAAGAGGAAAAAAAUUGGAACUUAGGAAGAGAAAUAUGAAAGAGGAGGGAAACGUGUAGAGAGAGAGAGAGAGAGAGACUUCAUAAUUAUUAAUUAAAUAAUUUAAAUAAUACGCUAAUUGGUGGUGGAUGGUACCGAUGGAAUUGUAAAAAUAGAUAUUGUCACUCUUGAUAUUAUCAUAGGAAUAGCUACAAUUUGCAAGAUUAGAAUAACCACGAACAACAUCGUAAUGUCUAAAAACGUAUACAUUUAUUUAUUCAUUGCCAUUGACCAACUGAAAGACACUACACAAGAACAUCUUUAAAUUAUGGCCACAAAUUAAUCAAAAUAAUUUAAUUUUACAAAGCAUCGUUGCGUACACAUGACAUUAGAGCAUAUGUGAUUAGGACCACUGUUAACUUAUUUAUGCUUCAAUUCAAGAAACAUCUCAAACUUGUUCAUGCAAUAAAUUCUACUCUACUCUUCCAUCCGGAUGAUGCAUCGGAGACCUUCUCCUCUAAGCAUGUACUCAAAGGCCUUGUUGAUUUCGGAGAAUGGGACUGUAUGGGUAAUGAAUUUUUCCACUUCAAGCUCCUGCAGCAACAUUCAUUUGACAUGAAUCAAUCAAUUAAGUAAUUAAUUAAUGCAUAAUCUUUGUCAUCACCAAAGCCAUUACUCUUGACCGAAUUGAAAGUGGAAAGUUGAAAGUUGAAACUACUCAUUGUACCUUGCUCAUAUAUUUUUCUACAACCGAAGGAAGGUCGGAACGAGGCUUGUAGUUUCCAAAGAAGGUGCCCUUAAGAGUUCUUUCAUUCAACAAAUUCAUGGGGUGCGUCUUGAACACAGCAUCUUUGUGAGGAACGCCCACAAGAACAGCCACACCCCAGCCCUGAAAAUAUCAGGAGUCAAUUCCGUCUGUGUUAGCUGGAUUUAUAGAAAAUUAACAACCGUUAAUUAGGACCAGAUAGUGAAGGAACAUACAUC